GCGGGAAGAGCUCAAAUUUAUAAUCUGGCACCUUCGGUGUCCGAGUUGUAAUCUCUAGAAGUGUUUUCCGCGUUGGACCGCACACAAGUCUGUUGGAAUACAGCGGCAUAGUGGUGAAACCCCCGUAUAUGGUGCGGACGCCCAGCGCUUUGUGAUACACUUUCAAUGAGUCGAGUUGUUUGGGAAUGCAGCUCAAAUUGGGUGGUAAAUUCCAUCUAAAGCUAAAUAUUGGCGAGAGACCGAUAGCGAACAAGUACCGUGAGGGAAAGAUGAAAAGCACUUUGGAAAGAGAGUUAACAGUACGUGAAAUUGUUGGAAGGGAAACGCUUGAAGUCAGACUUGCUUGCCGGAGCUUGCUUCGGUUUGCAGGCCAGCAUCAGUUUUCCGGGGUGGAUAAUGACGGUUUGAAGGUAGCAGUCUCGGCUGUGUUAUAGCUUUCCGUUGGAUACGCCCUGGGGGACUGAGGAACGCAGCGUGCUUUUUGCGAAAGACUCGUCUUUUUCACGCUUAGGAUGCUGGUGGAAUGGCUUUAAACGACCCGUCUU
rnacentral:rRNA from 1 species